UACGUAGGUGGCAAGCGUUGUCCGGAUUUAUUGGGUUUAAAGGGUGCGUAGGCGGCCCUGUAAGUCAGUGGUGAAAUAUCUCAGCUUAACUGAGAGGGUGCCAUUGAUACUGCGGGGCUUGAGUACAGAUGAGGUAGGCGGAAUUGACGGUGUAGCGGUGAAAUGCAUAGAUAUCGUCAAGAACUCCGAUGGCGAAGGCAGCUUACUAAGCUGUAACUGACGCUGAGGCACGAAAGUGUGGGGAUCAAACAGG
rnacentral:rRNA from 1 species